GCAGCCUACGGGACGCAGCAGUCGGGAAUAUUGCGCAAUGGAGGAAACUCUGACGCAGUGACGCCGCGUGCAGGAAGAAGGUUUUCGGAUUGUAAACUGCUUUAGACAGGGAAGAAACAAGACAGUACCUGUAGAAUAAGCUCCGGCUAACUACGUGCCAGCAGCCGCGGUAAUACGUAGGGAGCAAGCGUUAUCCGGAUUUAUUGGGCGUAAAGCGAGUGCAGGCGGUUCAAUAAGUCUGAUGUGAAAGCCUUCGGCUCAACCGGAGAAUUGCAUCAGAAACUGUUGAACUUGAGUGCAGAGGG
rnacentral:rRNA from 1 species